AGUGAACGCUGGCGGUAGGCCUAACACAUGCAAGUAGAACGGCAGCACAGUAAGAGCUUGCUCUUACGGGUGGCGAGUGGCGGACGGGUGAGGAAUACAUCGGAAUCUACUUUUUCGUGGGGGAUAACGUAGGGAAACUUACGCUAAUACCGCAUACGACCUACGGGUGAAAGCAGUGGAUCUUCGGACCUUGCGCGACUGAAUUAGCCGAUGUCGGAUUAGCUAGUUGGCGGGGUAAAGGCCCACCAAGGCGACGAUCCGUAGCUGGUCUGAGAGGAUGAUCAGCCACACUGGAACUGAGACACGGUCCAGACUCCUACGGGAGGCAGCAGUGGGGAAUAUUGGACAAUGGGCGCAAGCCUGAUCCAGCCAUACCGCGUGGGUGAAGAAGGCCUUCGGGUUGUAAAGCCCUUUUGUUGGGAAAGAAAAGCAGCAGGUUAAUACCCCGCUGUUCUGACGGUACCCAAAGAAUAAGCACCGGCUAACUUCGUG
rnacentral:rRNA from 1 species